AUUGGACGCUGGCGGAAUGCUUUACACAUGCAAGUCGAACGGCAGCACGGACUUCGGUCUGGUGGCGUGUGGCGAACGGGUGAGUAAUGUAUCGGAACGUGCCCAGUCGUGGGGGAUAACGUAGUGAAAAUUACGCUAAUACCGCAUACGAUCUAUGGAUGAAAGCGGGGGAUCGCAAGACCUCGCGCGAUUGGAGCGGCCGAUAUCAGAUUAGGUAGUUGGUGGGGUAAAGGCCCACCAAGCCAACGAUCUGUAGCUGGUCUGAGAGGACGACCAGCCACACUGGAACUGAGACACGGUCCAGACUCCUACGGGAGGCAGCAGUGGGGAAUUUUGGACAAUGGGCGAAAGCCUGAUCCAGCCAUUCCGCGUGCAGGAUGAAGGCCCUCGGGUUGUAAACUGCUUUUGUACAGAACGAAAAGGUUUCUACUAAUACUAGGAGCUCAUGACGGUACUGUAAGAAUAAGCACCGGCUAACUACGUACCAGCAGCAGCCGCGG
rnacentral:rRNA from 1 species